UACAGAGGUCUCAAGCGUUGUUCGGAUUCAUUGGGCGUAAAGGGUGUGUAGGUGGCGCCGUAAGUCGGGGUGUGAAAUUUCGGAGCUUAACUCCGAACUGCAUUCGAUACUGCCGUGCUUUGAGGACUGGAGAGGAGACUGGAAUUUACGGUGUAGCGGUGAAAUGCGUAGAUAUCGUAAGGAAGACCAGUGGCGAAGGCGGGUCUCUGACAGUUCCUGACGCUGAGGCACGAAGGCCAGGGGAGCAAACGGG
rnacentral:rRNA from 1 species